CGAAUCUUCCGCAAUGCACGAAAGUGUGACGGAGCGACGCCGCGUGUGGGACGAAGCCCUUCGGGGUGUAAACCACUGUCAGGGGUUAGAAAGUUCUGAUCAACCCCAGAGGAAGGCACGGCUAACUCUGCGCCAGCAGCCGCGGUAAGACAGAGGUGCCGAGCGUUAGGCGGAAUCACUGGGCUUAAAGCGUGUGUAGGCGGAUUGGUAAGUACCUUGUGAAAUCCCACAGCUUAACUGUGGAACUGCUUGGUAUACUGCUUAUCUUGGGCCACUUAGGGGUUACCGGAACAAACGGUGGAGCGGUGAAAUGCGUAGAUAUCGUUUGGAACGCCAAUGGUGAAAACAGGUAACUGGGAGUGUGCCGACGCUGAGACACGAAAGCCAGGGGAGCGAACGGGA
rnacentral:misc_RNA from 1 species